CCGUCUCCCCACACACGCAUGCGUCGAGCAGUAUAGCUUGUAAAAAGAAGAUUUCCAUCAUAUCCAUCUUUACCAACCCUGAAAUUAUCGUUAAAAAAAUGCCUGUUUUGGGAGAAAAAUCCCCCUCACCCCGACCUCACAGAACAAUGUAGCCCACAGCUGAGGACGCCCCCGACUUUUUUUUUUUUUUUUUUUUUCCAAAAGCACCGAGCGGAAGCCUGCAAAGAGAAAAAGAUCCUCAAAUCCUCCCAAUCGGCAGACUGUGAUGUUCAUCAGCAUCCAUGACCAUGAGGGCUACCAGUUCCUCCAUCGAGUCGGAGACCUGAACCAGAAGACAUGCUACAAAGCUCUGCGAAUCAGAAUUUGCCUCUUGAAUUACGAAGAAGGAAUCCCUUUAUUGGACAAAAAGCUGCUUGUGAAAUCUGAGCUGGACUGUAGGUAUUGUGGAAUAAAAAAUAAAGAUAGCUGGAAUGUAAAAUAAUGAAAAAGGAGUCAGUUAGAGAAUGGAAAAGCUUUUGAAGCCAGAAAGGCUGAUGGAAAGGAGAAAAAAAUACAAUUCUAAAAAUCUGUAUCAGUCGAUGAUUAAUUAAUUUUGUUGAAUGAUCUGCUCCAGCCUUGUGAGAUAUCUGUUUCCAUUUCUUUUGCACUUUUAUGGAAGAUCUCAAGAGACUGCCGGUUCAAAAAGACGGUUCAAUUUAGAGUUCCGAUGGGAAAUGGUUUUAGAAAGUCUGUUCCUUACGUUUGGCUUUGAUGUGUUUAAACUGUCGUAAUCUUACUGUUCGGA